rnacentral:rRNA from 1 species
AGAGUUUGAUCCUGGCUCAGAAUCAACGCUGGCGGCGUGCCUCAGACAUGCAAGUCGAACGAUUAAACUUUCCUUCGGGGAAGAUAUAAAGUGGCGCACGGGUGAGUAACACGUAGGUAAUGUACCUUUGGGUGGGGAAUAACUUAGGGAAACUUAAGCUAAUACCGCAUAAUGCAGCGGCUCCUUCGGGAGACAGUUGUUAAAGCGUUUACGCGCCUAAAGAGCAGCCUGCGGCAGAUUAGCUAGUUGGUAAGGUAACGGCUUACCAAGGCUACGAUCUGUAUCCGACCUGAGAGGGUGGUCGGACACACUGACACUGAAUAACGGGUCAGACUCCUACGGGAGGCAGCAGUCGGGAAUUUUGGGCAAUGGGCGAAAGCCUGACCCAGCAACGCCGCGUGAAGGAUGAAGUCUUUCGGGAUGUAAACUUCGUAAGAAUAGGAAGAAUAAAUGACGGUACUAUUUGUAAGGUCCGGCUAACUACGUGCCAGCAGCCGCGGUAAUACGUAGGGACCAAGCGUUGUUCGGAUUUACUGGGCGUAAAGGGCGCGUAGGCGGCGUGUCAAGUCAAUUGUGAAAUCUCCGAGCUUAACUCGGAACGGUCAAUUGAUACUGAUGUGCUAGAGUGCAGAAGGGGCAAUCGGAAUUCUUGGUGUAGCGGUGAAAUGCGUAGAUAUCAAGAGGAACACCUGAGGUGAAGACGGGUUGCUGGGCUGACACUGACGCUGAGGCGCGAAAGCUAGGGUAGCAAACGGGAUUAGAUACCCCAGUAGUCC